CUUUCGAACAUCUCGUUCGCUUUGCUCCUGGUGUCGCUGUUCUCUCGCUUUUCUUCGCUCUGCAGAGCUCAUCCUAUUUCGAAAAUCUUCCGUCCUGUUGCGCUCCUUAUGGUCUUCUGUUCUGGACCGGCCAUUGUUUGGUUUCCUGUGAUCUUUGUCGUCUCGCAAAUUGUUAAAAUCCAGCUUUCUAUAGUCGCCCUCAAUACCACGUCCUUUGCCCCGCCAGGUGACCUUUGAAACGGAUUGGGAGAAGUCCACGUGGAUGCGUCGAUCGUCGAUAAGCACAUUAUCCAUUUUGAAAUAUGCGGCCUCACAAGAUUUUUGAUCCUCGAACUCCACAAAAGCAUAUUGCAGAGAAUCUCCCGUUUUGCGGUCGCGAAUCACCUCACAUCCUUUAAGCACGCCGAAGCUACUAAAGAUUAUCUCCAGAUCAUCGUCGGUUGUAACAGGAUUGAGUUUGCACACAAACAAGACAUUUUCUGGCGGAGCCAUGUCUGCAUCGGGUAAAUCGCCGACAAUCUCAAGGAUUGUGGCUCGAGCCUUGGCCUCUCGUUCGGCCAGCAUCUCCUGCAUCUCCUCCGCGGUCAUGCCAUCAGUGUCAUCGAUAUCCUCGUCGGCAGCGAUGCGCCCGUUCUUCAGACGCUCCGCACUGGGCGAAGGUGAGCGACUUGGAGCCUGAAGGCCGCGCGGAUUAGGAAACGGAUCCUCAAGCACAACAGUGUGUGUGAUGCGUAUAUCCUGGUAAGGACGGAAGCUGUCGUCAACAAUGGCGUCGUUUAGCUUGCGCAGCACCUCGUGACCUUCCACCACUUCACCGAUAACGCAGUGGUUGCCGUCCAGCGAUGUUAGGUUCUCACCCAGCGUGAGGAAGAACUGGGAUCCCACCAGAUUCUUGCCUGCACUGACCAGCGAUAGCAUUCCGGCACUGGAGUGGUUAAUCUUGGGCAGGAACUCCGCCUCGAAGAAGCGCUUUUGCGGACCCUCCACCACGCCCCAGAUGGAGGAUCCGCCGUCUCCAGCUCCACUCGGAUCGCCUGUUUGGGCGAUGAAUCCCUGCUGCACCGUGUGAAAUAGAUUGAAGUUAUAGUACUUCAGCCGGCACAGCUUGAGGAAGUUUAGGCAGGCAAUUGGGCGCUCGCUGAUGAACAGGUCGACGGUCAGGUCACCCAUCGUGGUUUCUAUAACCACCGACAUUGUGCGAAUUCACAGAUACCGGCAAAAUCAAGGGAUAAACAAGAACAAUAUAGAGGUGGAGAAACAUCGAUGCCAAAUCGAUAUCAUCGAUGCUUUCGAAAAAUCACAAACAUCGAUGUUUUUCGAGGAAUCAUCGAUGUUUUUCCAUCUCUACUGCGCAUCGGAGGAGAGAAGUGUAU
ensembl:ncRNA asRNA:CR46096 antisense RNA:CR46096